AUUGAACGCUGGCGGAAUGCUUUACACAUGCAAGUCGAGCGGCAGCACGGGGGCAACCCUGGUGGCGAGCGGCGAACGGGUGAGUAAUACAUCGGAACAUGCCCAGUCGUGGGGGAUAACGCUUCGAAAGAAGUGCUAAUACCGCAUACGUCCUGAGGGAGAAAGCGGGGGAUCUUCGGACCUCGCGCGAUUGGAGUGGCCGAUGUCAGUUUAGCUAGUUGGUGGGGUAAAGGCCUACCAAGGCAACGAUCUGUAGCUGGUCUGAGAGGAUGAUCAGCCACACUGGGACUGAGACACGGCCCAGACUCCUACGGGAGGCAGCAGUGGGGAAUUUUGGACAAUGGGGGCAACCCUGAUCCAGCCAUUCCGCGUGAGUGAAGAAGGCCUUCGGGUUGUAAAGCUCUUUCGGCAGGGACGAAACGGCGAGCUCUAACAUAGCUUGCUAAUGACGGUACCUGAAGAAGAAGCACCGGCUAACUACGUGCCAGCAGCCGCCGCAGUAA
rnacentral:rRNA from 1 species